GGGGACGUUCUGGAUUCGACAGGGGUAGGUCGUGCUUAAGUCGCGGGCCGAGCUGGGUGUCCUCGUAUAAAACGCCCAUCGCCUAUAGUUGGCAAAGAAGAAAACAACUUCGCAUUCGCUGCCUAAUAAGUAGCUGAUUGCGGUUCCUCCCUUCAUCGCCCAUGUGAAGGAUCAGGGACUCACUCUAAGUGGGAUACGCCUUGCGUCCACCGCCUGAGGACAAUAGGAAGAGAUUAAUCGGGAUAGCUACACGGAAGCCUGUCAGUUGGCUGAAGUGUUAGCGAAAUGCUAAUAAACUGACUACGCUCGUAGACGCUUAAGUUACGUUAUCUCUGGACGUGGGUUCGAUUCCCACCGUCUCCACCA
rnacentral:tmRNA from 1 species